CCUACGGGAGGCAGCAGUGGGGAAUAUUGGACAAUGGGCGCAAGCCUGAUCCAGCCAUGCCGCGUGAGUGAUGAAGGCCUUAGGGUUGUAAAGCUCUUUUGCCAGGGAAGAUAAUGACUGUACCUGGAGAAUAAGCCCCGGCUAACUUCGUGCCAGCAGCCGCGGUAAUACGAAGGGGGCUAGCGUUGUUCGGAAUCACUGGGCGUAAAGCGCACGUAGGCGGACUUUUAAGUCAGGGGUGAAAGCCUGAGGCUCAACCUCAGAACUGCCCUUGAUACUGGGAGUCUUGAGUAUGGUAGAGGUUGGUGGAACAGCAAGUGUAGAGGUGAAAUUCGUAGAUAUUUGCUAGAACACCAGUGGCGAAGGCGGCCAACUGGACCAUAACUGACGCUGAGGUGCGAAAGCGUGGGGAGCAAACAGGAUUAGAUACCCUGGUAGUCCACGCCGUAAACGAUGGAUGCUAGCCGUUAGCCAGCUUGCUGGGUAGUGGCGCAGGUAACCCUUUAAGCAUCCCGCCUGGGGAGUCGGUCGCAAGAUUAAAACUCAAAUGAAUUGACGGCUAGAGNGUGACCGAGGCACACGGAGGGAG
rnacentral:rRNA from 1 species